rnacentral:lncRNA from 1 species
GGCAGGUCAUUGGUUGUCAUUGAGGAAGACAAGGUGAGUGGGCCCCCAGGGGGUGGUGGGGAAGAUACAGGGCCUGUCUGUGAGGAAACAGAAAAAUUGCAAGGACAAAGCCAUCAGCACCGUUGCCAUUCAGGUCUCCCACCAUGAUUCCUCUCCUUCUAGUUUCUUUCUAUACUAGGCCCCAAAUCCUACCCUUAUCUUCUACACACAUUUGGCCCCAUUUUCUCUCUCUGCAUCCAAACAUCUAACACACGCAAACACACACACACCACCACCACAGACACACACACGUCACGCACACGGACACUGGACAAUCAGAGUCAUAGCCAUCACAAUGCAACAGCAGGACUGAUCUAUGCAGUUGUGUAGGUUACUGACUGCACAAGAUCUCCAGCUGAGAGAGGGAAGUGGAUCCAAUUCCAGCUGCACUCUGCUGUCCAAGGUGUGCUUCCUGGCACAGUGUCACCCAGAGGAAGGGACAUUAUUUUUCUAACACAAAGAUGCCACCUGUACAGCCUCAAGGGUCUCUUCUAUCCUGGCCCAAGGUCUCCAUCUCCCUUCUCCCUCAUGCUGGGGUCCUUGGCCUCUCCGACACCUGCUCUGCCCACCCAGUCCUGAAGCCCAGGGUCUUGGCUCAACUAUGUAAAGGGGGAGAUGCUUGCAUACUGAGAGUUCACUGAGCUGGGCUACCAGCUCUGCCACUUGUCCCCGAGCCUGGCGCAGCUCCUGGGACUCCCGGGCCAGCUUGUCCUUCAUUUUGUUCAGCGUCCGCAUCAUCUCUUCCUUCUCCAAUGUCUUUGUCUCGCAUUCCCGCUCCUUCCUCUCCAGACGGCUCACAAGCUCCAUGUGUUCUGGAAUGGGGGUGGGACGGGAGAGGAAACAGAAGGAGAGAAUGUGAGUAAUGUGACUCCCUGCCUGGAAGGGCAUGGAGUUAUGGGCUGGGCAGGGGAAGGGCAUGUGGAGUGGACAGCAGGCUUAAGCAGAGCCCCUCACCUUUCCGGAACUUCUCUGCCUGGUCUCGCCACUGUUUCACUUCAUUCUCGUUGAUGAGCCUGGCAGGGCAUAGAGGGAAGGGGCAAUGUGAUUGUUGACCAUUGAUUCACAGCUUCCCAGGAGACAUCAUCUUUCUACCCUCCAGGUGGGGACCCUGGUCUCCAAUCUGUCCAGCCACAUCAAGGGGGCUAGGAUUUAGACUUCCCAGGUGUCUCUCCAGGUCCCCUGCCCCGUUCACAUUAUGUGUCUGUGGAGACCGUGAGAGAAAAGACCUUUAGAUACCCUAUAACCCGGCCCCUUUGUGAUACAGCCGGAGCCACUGAGGCUCAGAGAAUGGGGAUAGGGCAAGAGCUAAUUAAUGGUAGAACUAGGACUGAACCUCAGGCUCCCAAGAAUUAUAUCAUGACUUGCACCUCCUUGUAAAAUAGGUUUUACCUUUAAAAGAGAUCAAAAUAUUGGCCCUACCAUGGUCCAGGUUUCCAAAGACCAAUGCGUAAGAGCAAGAGACAUCACCCACACCAGCAAUACAGACUGAAUGUGUUCAGAGUGACACAGAGGACAGCCUUGUUCAUGCCAAGCUCUUGAAACUGUGUUCAAAUUUAGCUUUUACCUUGACACCAAGGCCUAACAGAGGUGAAAUCCCAAAGCGAGAUCCCAAGAAUCCUUUCCUUUAUAAAUCUGAGAAUGUGGAAGAGUUAGACCCAUGACUUUUGGCCUCUUCAGCCACAUCAAGGACAUAGAGAACAGAGUAUGGAGAGGGAGAGUAUUUCAUGAAGACAUUUCUUUGAAGAGGGCCACUGCUGUUAUCCCCAAGAUGCUACCUCCUUCACCACCAUCCAAGGAAGGGGUUUCUUUGGGCCUUCCCCAAGAGUUUUGACUCAUGUUCCCUGAAGUUGGGAGGGAGGUAGGGUAGACUGGGGCCCUACUUGGAACCAAGCAAAGCCCUGGGAGCAAAAGAAGAACACUGCUGUGUGGGGCCCUGCCAGCACUCCUAGAGUUCGUUGGCACAAGAGAUGGCAUGAGGGUUGCCCAUGGGUCAGAUAUAAGCCUCAUGGAGGAACUGGGGUGCAGUUUUCACAGUCCUGUGCAAGGGGAGCUGUUUCCACCUGAGCGAAAAGUGGGAACAUCCACACCAUAAGUCUACAGGCAGUGGACUGCCAGGGAACCAGGGACAGAUGGAAGAGCUGGAAGCAGCCAGCCAGCUGGAACAAAAAUCUUGCAUGGCCAGUGAGCUGGGUUUUGUAGUGAGAGGCACCCAGCAAGGAACUUCUGAAGAUUCCAGGAACACACUGACGUCUUUACCCAUAUGCCAAAAAGGCAAGAGAGCAGGGAGCCUGUUUACUAAAUUAUCUUAUCAAGUAAGACCUUUUCCCUCUUUCCUUCCUGUCCCCAGGCUGCCUCUUCAGAGGGUCGGACUGGUUUGUAGAAAGGAGGGGUGGGAGAUAGAAGGGGUUACAGGGUAAAUAGAACAGAGAAAAGAAGGCAAAUAUCACACACAGACAUAUGUGCACACAUAUGCACAUACACACACGCACACACACACACACACACACACCCUUCCCAUUCCAGUUUCCUGGCCCCAGCUGGUGGAGGAGAAAGAUUUAAGGCUAAAUCAUGUCUAGAAUGUCAUGUCAUGAUUUUAGUCCUCCUAGUUGUAGAUUUCAGACUAUGUUGCACUUGAAAGUGAUCUUAGGACUCCUGUUACCCAAGAAGGGUUAAAAACUUCAUUGGACCUCAGGAGUUUUUAUCCUCUGGCAGUGGAAAAGAUUGCCUACUAAAUAGUGUAAUGAAUUGGUAGGAAAUAAAACUAAAGUCACCUUUUGAUCACUUUCCCAGUUGCACUUGUCCAACAUACCAAUUAGGAUUUUAACUACAUCAAUAUCUGACUAUGCAAAUGAAAACAGUAGCAAGAAUAGCUGGAAAAUAAUUGUGUACUUGGCUUUGGAAUGCAACAUAAUGAAUCAUUGACAGCCAAUUUAUCUCCUUAAGGGCAAGUGGCUCAAACUCAUACUGAAAGUUAAGUAAAAGCUUAAAAUUAAAAAUUAGUAUGUUAAUGUAAGGCCUUAUUAUUAAUUGAUGUAGAUUUAAAUGUUUCUCUGUGUUUCUCUAUCCAAGAUCAAUAAAAUAUGGUAAACCAGAAGGCCUUAGGCUCUGAUAACCUUAUCCAGCAACCUCAUGAUCAAAUGGUCAGGCUCUAUGUCAGUGGUCAGCAAACUUUCUAUAAAGGGCCAGAGUAAAUAUUUUAGGUUUUACAUACCAUGCAUAGUCUCUGUCACUUAUACUUGUGUGUGUGUGUUGUUUGAAAUGUAAAAAUUAUUAGUUCAUGGGCCAUACACAAUAAGCUGGAGGACUGGAGUCAGCCCAUGCACCCAUAGUUUGCUGACCCUUGUUCUACGUUAAUGUGUUUAAAUUCCCCAUCUAUCCAAGCCAUGCAGUGGAUCGUGGAGAGUUGAGAACAUGCCCAAUACACCUGUGUUGGCUGUCCAAGAGAGUAAUCACUAGCCACGUGUCAUGUGGCUAUUGAAAUUUAAAUGAAACAACCUUUAAGAUUCAGUUCCUUGGUCAUACUAGCCGUGUGUCAAGUACUCCAUAGCCACAUUUGGCUGCCAUGUUGAACAGUAGAGAAAUGCACUUUUUUCAUUAGCUUAGAGAGUUCUGUUGGACCAUGCUGCCCAAGACUCAUUUCGGGAUGACUGGGUUGCGAAAGGGAGCUGAGGUUUCGCUGGUGAGACCAGAGUGGGAGAGUGAUGAGGAAGGUGGAGGAAGACAGGGCAAAGGCUGGCCACUGCUCACAUGUUGACGAUGUUCUUGACAUUGAAGUUCUCCAAGGGAGCCAGGUCAGGGUCCACACCCCGCUCAUCCUGGAGGACAAUCUGCUGGAGGAUGCGGUCCAGGAGCUGCCACUGCUGGAAGUAGCCACCGUUCCGUUUGUCUGAGGGAUGACAGGUAUCAUAUCUUUCCUGAGUCCUGAAGUCCCCCUUGGGCCCCACCCUAGAGUUGCUGCCUGGGGUCUGGCUGGUGAGGCAUGCCCUUCUCCACCUAUGGUAAGCUCCCAGUCUAGAAGAAGAGGCAAUGCCAUUGCUGAUAAUGGCAACUCACUGAUUCAGUCAUCUCUUGAUUAUCGGCAACUAGACUUCUACGGAUGUGUCAACCACCUCCCCAACAUAUUUCUCUACUCCCUGAAAUACUUUCUGGCUGCCUUUCUUCCUUGUUUGGACCCUGGGCAUACUAUGCCCAGGAAGUGCAGAUUGCUUUUUACAUUAUCUAUAAAAACCACCUGCUCCAAAAUAUUACAUGCUGAAUAAUGAAGUCUCCAGGGAAGUUUUUUUUAAAAAAGAUUUUAGGAUUAUCCACAUUAUUACUCUACAGAGAAAGAUGAAGGGAAACUGAUUGCAGGUGUGCACUGAGAGUCAAAAUGGGUUAGAGAAGUGCUUAAUGGAACUCGAGAAAAUUUCUUGUGGAAGUGACCUUGAACUAUGAAGGUAAAGGCAUAGUGUGUUGUGUGUGAUCUCAUAGAGUCUCACUCUCAUCCCCUCUAAUGAUAGUCAUCUGGCUGGACAUGGACUUCCUUUUUAUGUAAUAACCACAAACUCUCUUUCCUUGGUCCUUGAUCCCUAGCACUUUAUUGACCAUCAUAAAAAGCCAACAAGUUCAAUCCUGACAUCAAAGCAAACCACAAUGCCUACAAGGUAGAAUAUCGAGUCUGCAAAGCCCCAUUUUGGGGCAGAGUAGAAGAACCCAUUCACAUUGCCCAUGGAACAGGAAACACAGGAAUCCCUGGGAGCACAAGAAGUCAGGUUUCCCAGAGAUUUCUAUGCCCUUCAUGAAGACCUGCUGCAAUGAGCUUUGGAGAACUGAUAGCUUCUUAAUUCAGGUCACUGCAUCUAUCCUGUCCACAAGUCUACUGACACAUGCAUUGCAAAGUUGUAUCAUUUACCAUCUACUUUUCACCCAGCAAAAUCGUGUAAAGCCAGGUCACUAGCUCAAAGAGGCAGAACAUGUUUUAUCUCAACCCUUGACCCCGCAGAAACCAAAAUUCUUUCUAUAUGUAAAUAUCUCGCUGAGCCUCAGGUUCACUCACUAUUCAAAUGGACAUAAUAAUGUGUAUUCCUUAGGUCAUUCUAAGGUUCAGAGAUGAUGUGCUAAAGGACCUCACAUCACGCCUGGCCCAGAGUUGGCACACAAUAAGUCACAGUUGUCAUCACUGUCACUAUGAUUGCUGACACCGCCAACAUCAACCAUUAUGGUGGGCCACACUGGUUUUCAAAAUAUUCUCUUUUGUGAAGAGCUUAAGUACCAAGGGGUACAGUUAAAGCUCAUUUCAAAUUGCAUUCUGGAGUGGCUAUUAGCAAUUAUGUACAAUUUAUUCAAUCACUGUGCACACCUGGAUCUUAAGAACUUAGCCAUCUGCUCCCAUAGAUGCUGACAUUUGGUAUUUGUAGGCAGAAGCAGGGGCAAGAGUGCAAGAGUGGAAGCCAACAAGGACUAGAUGAAGGAGUUGAUAAAACCUUAAGGAAAAAAACAACCAUGUUCAUUCCACAUCUGUGCUACUCCCCCAAGCACAAAACUUUUUGGAACUCCCCAGCAUGACUGAUCUCUCCCCCGUCAUGAGCUGAAAGCUGAGCUAUUUAAUUUUGCAAUGAUCAAGCUACCGUUUUUGGACUAGGAUGUUGGAGUUGCUCAGGGCCAAGUCCCCAGCUCCUUCCCCAGAUGACAGUGAAGACCUGACCCCAAGGAGGGAAGGAAAAGCAGGGGCCUCCGUCAUGGGGCCUGCCCUCCCAAAAGCAAGUGCACAGGGAGACAUGGUCAGACUCCCCAAACCAGGGAGGUCCCAAAGUCUUGUCUAAACCUGCCCCAAGUCAAGGUUCAGGCCAGUCGAGGGAAGCAGCAAGUGCAGGGUACUUACAGGGCAUCUGCAGGCAGUGGUGCAGCACAGAGAGCAGGCAGGGGUAGGCCUCCGUGUACUUCAGCUUCUUGUGGAUCAACUCAAACAUCUGGGAAGCACUCUUGGUGUCGAUGUGGACCUGGGAGAGAAGAGGGCACAGUGAUCAGUGGGUAGGCAGCAGAGGAAGUCAGCAGGAGAGAGAAGACCCUGCUUCCAUCCACUAUGCCCUGUCUCAUAGGAAAGGUUUUCUUCCCCUGCCUCUGGCCCAGGCUUAAAAAGAGAAAGACAAAAGGAACAGGGAGAUAGUCAAUUUUAUAAACUAGAGUUUCUCAGUCUCAGCACUAUUGGCAUCUUGGGUCAGAUAAUUACUCAUUGUGGGGGCUGCCCUGUGCUUUGUAGGUUGUGUAUCAGCACCCCAGCCUCUCCUUAGCAGAUGCCAGUGGCACCCCCUCACACAAGUCAAAAUGUCCCCAGACAUUGCAAAUGUCCCCAGGGGGAGAGGAGAGCAAAAUCAUCCCUGCUUGAGAGCUACUGAUCCAAACUAGGGAAGGGAGCAGGGGCAUAGAGGAUUCAAAGUAGCAGGUGGAAUGUGGCGCAGGUCCACCACCUGGGUUCAAACCCCAGAUCUACGCUUUAGUUGUGUGAUGACAGGCAAGCUGCUUAUCCCCUCUAACCUCUGUUUCUGUAUCUAUAAAUCCAGGGCUUUUGUGAAAAUAUAAUGGAUGCACUCAGUGACUGUAAAGCACCACCCAAAAGUAGCUUUCUAUUUGGAUGGGGAUUUUAUAACACAAUAAAGCAGAGUUGUGUGCUUUCAGGGUUGCCGAGGUUAAAAUGAAAAUACAAUUUAGUUUGCUAAGCAUGAUCUGGUUAGGGAUGGGGAGAGGGGACUCAGGAAGUUGCUGGAAGGCAGGGGAAAGUCAGCCCAGGAAAGGUAUUUGAGACUAAUCACAUGCAAUAACUUGCUCCCUUUCCUUUGGGGGUUUCAGUCUCCUCCUAGGCCGAUGCCUUCCCGGGGGAGGCUUCCACAGCCUGCAUACUACCAAGGCUCUGGAAGUGAGAUGUGAUGGUUCGUUUUAGGUGUCAACUUGACUGGAUCAAGGGAUACUCAGAUAGCUGGUAAAGAAUUCUUUCUGGGUAUGUCUGUGAGGGUGUUUCCCAAAGAGACUGGCAUUUGAAUCAGAGGACUGGGUAAGGAAGAUCCCACACCAGCUCCACCACAGCACAGGGCCUGGAGAAAUGGCUGUGGGGCCACCUAGAACCCUACUACCAUACUACGAUCACUCCACCCUGUGGGCUCCUCACCAUCCAAUCAGCUUAGGGUCUGGAGAGAACAAAAAGGCCAAGGAAAGGUGAAUUUUCUGUCUACCUCUUUUGGAGCCAGGACAUCCUUCUUUUCCUGCCCUUGGACAUCAGAACAGCAGGCUCUCCAGCUUUUGGAUUCCAGAACUUGCUCCAGUGGCCCCUUAUGUUCUCAGGCCCUUGGCCUUGGACUGAGCCAUGCUACUGGCUUCCCUGUUUCUCCAUGCAAUAACUCCGACCUGUCAUGGGACUUCUCAGUCUCCAUAGUUGCGUGAGCCAAUUCGCCUAAUAAAUGCCCUCUCAUCUGUCUAUCUCUAUAUAUGUAUCCUAUUGGUUGUGUUUCUAUGAAGAACUAUGACUGAUCACAGGACCUGGCCAUGGGGGUGCCCACCAGGGAACCAGCCCACACCAGCCCUGCCACAACACGGGGUCUAGAAAAGUGGCUGUGGGGCCACCAAGAACCCUACUACCCCAUUGCAAUCGCUCCACCCUGCUGGCUCCUCACCAUGUCAAACCUCCUGGCUAGCUCCAGGUCAUCCUCAUUCCGCACCAUCUCGAAGAAGUCUAAAUGUCUAGACAGAAUGGGGAGACAGAGAGAGUAGACAUUACAGCCAGGACACACCCUUGGUUGAGGGUUACAGCCCCUUCGAGCCCCCCACUGGCUAAAUCUGAAAGCUUCAUUCAAGCAAAAUGAAGGCAAAAUGGGAAAGAAGCCGCUGUUUGUAGGACACCCAUUGUCUGCCCUUUAUAAGAUCCCAUGACCUUCCUUCAGGGAGGCCAAUCCAGGGUCCCUUCACCUUAGAAUGGGCUUCUAUACUUCGGCACUACUGACAUUUUGGGCUCGCUUAUCUUUGGUUGUGGGAGGCUGAUCUGUGAGGAUGUUUAGCAGCAUCCCCAGCCUCCACCCACUAGAUGCCAGCAGCACCCCCUAGUGUGACAACCAAGAAUGUAAUGUCUGCAGGCAUCGCCCAAUGUCUCUCAGUUGAGGACAUCAGCCCUGGUCUAUUUUCCCCAGUACUUUCAUAGGGUCUCCAAGUCAACCCUCAAAACUAAUCUCUCCCUCAUUUUCUAUCCUCAUGCACACAUCCACUUGUUCCACCUCAAAAGGAUCCAUCCUCUGUCCCUUAAAACCUAGUGUAAUAAAAUAGCCUAAACUAAUGGGACAGAACCAGAGGGGCCUCACUGGUAUCACAUGGGAACAUAAUUGUGCCCUUGGAUCAACAAGGGCGUUAUAGCAAGCAUUUUGGGUGGGACAUUUCUUUGUUGAGCAGGAAGGUACUGCGGGACAUUUAGCAUUCCUGGCCCCCAACAACCAAUACCAGUAUUGCCCACCAUCAACCAGUUUGAAAACCAAAGAGUACCCUCAUAUAUUUCCACAUGCCCCCCAGGGGGAAGUACUGCAAUGGUUGAGGGCUACUGGGUUCACCUGUCUAUAACAUCAGAGAUGAGACAAGCAGGUCAGCAAAGAGGACAGGCAAGGGCACCCCUUCCCCCCACAGAGCUGAUUCUGAAUCUGCGCUGGGAAUGGCAGCUGGUCUCCAGAGGGAAGGGCAGCCUUCACAAAGGUCCCAACUAUCCCCAUCUGAGGCACUGUCCCCACAGGUUUGCAAUGGAGACGGGUGCUUGGAACUUACUUGUCCAGGAUGGCAUUUUCAUGUUGCCGGAGCUUGUCAAUCACAGGCUGUAUACCCAGCAUCAGGAAUUCAUACCGUAGAUGUAGGCGGAACUCCAGAUUAUCCUGGGGGUCACCAAGGGAGGGCCAGACUCAUUGGCAGAUCUCAGUUUCCACAACAUCCCCAGUGGAGCCCUCAUCACCACCCUAGCCACAGACCCAACACAUCUCCCACAGCUAACUCACCUGGAGCUGCUUCCAAUCCCAGAGUUCCAAGAAAGAAUGGAGACCUUAUUUCUUAGUUUAAAGCAAACCCACUGCCCAGCUUCUUUUAGGUCUCCUGCCCCACUUCCUUCAAGCCCCUUGCCAGUUCUAGCCUUCAGCACCAAAGAGCAGUGUUGUAGAGUGACAUGGAGCACAAGCUUUGGAAUCAGACAGAUCUUGGAUCUGGUUUUGUGACCUUGGGAAAACUUUUAGUUUCCCCAUUUGUGAAAUGAUCAUAGCAUAACUAAUCUACAGGGAUGACACUUGUUAUAAUUACCUGAUGAGGUGUGGUUACCAGCUAAUCAGAGCACAUGCC